AUGGGCGUGAGCCUGGCGCAGGCGGUGGCGGAGCUGGUGGGCAGGUGCGCGCGGCGGCUGUCGCGGGCGGCGCGGCGGCUGCACGUGCGCCGCCCGCCGGGCUCAUCCUUCCCGUCGCGCGCCGUCGUGCCGUUCCUCGGGGCGGCCGGGGGCAAGGCCAAGAGAGCGCUGUCGUGGCCGGCGACGUCCUCGUCGAAGAAGGGGAGGGAGGCGGGGCCGACGGAGGAGUGGGGCAUGGAGGCGGACGACGGGGUGUGGAGGAAGGAGAUACUCAUGGGCGAGCGGUGCCAGCCGCUGGACUUCUCCGGGGCCAUCUACUACGACGCCGAGGGUCGCCGCCUCGGGGCCCCGCCCACGCCGCGCACGCCCAUGCGCAGCCCGCUGCCGGCCUCCCUCAAGCUCGCCGCCAACGCCUGA
rnacentral:rRNA from 1 species